CCUGGUGGCUCAGACGGUAAAGCGUCUGCCUGCAAUGCAGGAGACCCGGGUUCGAUCCCUGUGUUGGG
rnacentral:tRNA from 1 species